GCCUGUUUCCACGUCCCUAAAAUGGGGAUGACGCCUACCUUAUGGAGUGUUGUGAGGGUGAACAUACUUAGCUGCAGAGCCUCUCACGGCAGGGCUUGGUAGAUUGUUGGCUGCCCAUGAAGCAUCCAUUCCCUCUCUCACAAAUCCCAAUUUUUACAUAGGUUUCGCACACGUCCUCCUGUGCUUCCUGCGGAACUGAUCUCACCCCGAACUUCGGAGCUGGUCUUGAUUGGUGUAGGGCUAUCCCAACCCUCUCACCACCAUUGUUGGUUCAGGAACUCAGCCCAGGAAAGCUGAAAACACAAGUGCAGCAAAACAAGGCUGGAAUGGCCCUUCCCACGGAGGAGAGAGAGAGGGAAGUUGUUCAGGAAGCCAAGCAAAGGCAAUCAGAAAUUGAGGACCCAUCUCCAAGGGAAAACACAAAUAACGCAGUCAGCCUGGGCUGGAUCAACUGAAUCUAGAUGUGGUGGAAGAUCAGGUGUGGCAGAGCUGCCAUGCCAUGAGGGCACUCAAGCAGUGACAUGGAGAGACCCACAUGGAGAAGAAUUGAGUCCCCUGACCUGAGCCAGCAGCAGUUUGGCAGUCAGUCUUCUGUCAGCUCCCAUUGGCCGAGCCCAGUGAGAAGUCAAGAGAACAGAGAGCAAGGUCCGAGGGGUGAACAGAAGAUAUGCAGCACAGGAUGACCGCAGAACACAGGCAGUCCUGCUACUGGAAAGAAACCCUCCACUGUAAACAAGAAGCCUGUCUCCCAUGAGAUUGGCUAGCUUCCUAAAGGAAGAGGAACUAGGAACCAGCCUGGCACCGGCCCCCAAUAUGAUUCUUUUACCUUGUCCAGCUAACUGCAUCAGGUACCACAACCUUCCUCUAGGGAUCUGUCUGCCUCUCCGCAUCCCCACUGCCACUACCUCUGGCCACCACCUUCUCUUGCAUUUCUCUAACAGCCUCGUGCCUGGACUUCCUGCCUCUGCCCCUAUCCAGUCUUCUCUCCACCUGGCAACCAAAUCUUUCUCACGUGCUGAUCUGAGCAUGUCAUUUCCUUUCCUAAAACCACCUUACCAACAUAAAGUCCAAACAUCUUACCAGGGCUUAUGAGGCUUUUUCAUGGUCUGGCUCUGGUUUACAUGUCUGGCCUCAUUCCUUGCCAGUUCUACCUCUCCACCUUCCCUCAGCCAAACUUUCCUUCUUAAAUCCAGCUCACUGUGGUCUAACCAUACAGAACUGCUUUCUGAUCUCUCUCUAAUCCUAGGGCCUUUGCACAUGCUGUUUCUUCUGAAAGUCAGAAAGUCUAUUCUAACCUGACUAACUUCCGCUUAUUCCUCAUCCGUCCAUUGCUGCUGCCCUUGGCAAGGGUUCAGUGCCUCUCCUUCAUGUUCCCAUAGCACCCUGGCCCUGCACAAAUUGUAAUAUUUAUUUUAAAAAUUAAUUUGAUACUUACUGAAUACCUGUCAUGCACCAGGCCCUUACCACCCCAGGGCCUUUACUCACGCUGUUCUUUCCGCUUGCCAUGUUCUUUUAUUAUUCUUCAUCUGACCAACUCUUACCCUUUCAGUCUCAGCUAAAAUAUUUCCUCUGAGAAGUUUUGCCCCCUUAUUCUCUCCUGCAGCAUGCCGUAUGAUUUAGUUUAUUUGAUAUCGGUGUCUCCCUCUCCACACCUAGGAAGGUGCAAGAUCUGCUUCAUCUACUACUGUGUGCCCAUCCCUAGCUCAGAACCUGGUAUUCAGUGAUCACAUAUAUGAUGAGCAGGGGGAGGCAAUUGAGUUUUCCCAUGAGACCAUGACAAGGAGUAAACCAUGACCGUACGCUCCAGGGGUGUAGGAGGGGCCUGAAACUUAGACAAUUUGAAGGGCCCUCUUUAAGAGAAAUACAAAAUUACAAAAGCAAAAUUAGGUGUGAAAGUGGAUCUUUAUUUAGAUUGAGAAAAGAAAUAAUAAAUUGUAAGACUUUUAAAGCUGAAAAUGUUCACAAAUAUCACAAGAUACAGAAAAAUAAUACAAUGUUUUUUAUUAAUUAACCGCCUAGCACACUGCUGUAAUACUUUCUUCCGCUGCAUUUUUUGUCGAAUACUCUUUUAUCACUUCUUUAUAUAACAACAGUUUUGUGAUAUUUGCUAUAUAGAGAAAGGAAAGAGAAGUAAGUCUUUCUUCCAGCAUAAUAAAAAUUAGAUUUAUUAUUGAUGACUGGGAUGCAUAAAACAUGCAUAAAACCAGACAUACUUGCUGUUUGUAGGACUGCUACAGUUUAUACCCUACCAACAUAUUUUGAUAAGUCCUAUUUGGCAUAAUUGUCAUCAAAAUAAAAAAAAAGUAUAGCAUAGAAUUGCAUAACUAUUACUGAAUAUUCCUACUAUAUAUGACUAGGUAUCUGUGAGAACUGAAUCCUGCAUUUAGAAUUUUACACAUCUGACAAUUGGAAGACUUUCCCAUAGACUAACUUUUGGCUCUAUGCAAUUCAAAUCUUGUUUCUUUCCCCACCCACAUACUUCCAGUGCCAGUUUCCAUAGGACACAUUCAAAUCUGAUGUGAACUUUGGCCCUGCUCCUUAGUGCCACGUGCCAGAUGAGAAGGUACCAUGGGCAAUAGGAGGAUCCCUGGAGGCCAUUUCCACACUGAGAUGGCUAGCAAAAACUUAUUUAAGAAGUGACUGCAAACCACCUCACAAAAUGCAAACCCAGUUGUAUCCCCAACUUAACUUGCCCUCAGCCAGAUCCCAUGAAUGCCACUUCAGUGUCAUCCUGCACUAAGGGAAAUGUGACAGAGUCUGAGUGGAAAGAGACACCAUUCUUAACUAAGUGUGGUUAAAAUAGCUCACUUUUGCACAGUUUACCAAAACGUGUACAACACUGCUAGCAUCCCUUUCUGGACUUGUGCUAAUGGGAGGCCCUAAAGCUUAAGCUUCUUUAACUUCAUGGUAAAUUUGCCUCUGUAUCUUAGUUGUUAUUACGUAUUGCCCCGGCACCUCUCCUGGCACACAGUACAGUAGUCCCCACCUUAUCCUUUUGCUUUCUGCAGUUUCAGUUACCCCGCAGUCAGCUGUGUCUGAAAAUACUAAAUGGAAAAUUCCAGAAAUAAACAAUUCGUAAGUUUUAAAUUGCGUGCCAUUCUGAGUAAUGUGACGAAGUCUCGCGUGUCCUGCUUCAUCCCGCCUCCUCCGUGAGGAGGAGACGCGAAUCGUCCCUUCGUCCAGGGUACCCUGCCCGUUAGUCACAUAGUAGCCAUCUCGGUUAUCAGCAUGACUGUUGUAGUAUCGCAGUGCUUGUGUUCAAGUCACCCUUAUUUUACUUAACCAUGGCCCCAAAGUGCAAGAGUUGUGAUGCCGGCAGUUUGGUUAUGCCAAAGAGCAGUUGCAAAGCGCUUUAAGUGAGAAGGUGAAAGUUCUCCACUUAAGGAAAGAAGAAAAUCCUAUGCUGAGGUUGCUAAGAUCUACGGUAAGAAUGAAUCUUCUAUCCGUGAAAUUGUGAAGAAGGAAAAGAAAUUCGUACUAGUUUUGCUGUCCAACCUCAAAUUGCAAAAGUUAAUGCCACACAGCCUGAAUGGGAGGGGAGUUUGGGGGAGAAUGGAUACAUGUAUUUGGAUGGCUGAGUCGCUUUUCUGUGCACAUGAAACUAUCACAACAUUGUUAAUCAGCUAUACCCCAAUAUAAAAUAAAAAGUUAAAAACAAAGUGAAUGCCACAGUGCGUGAUAAGUGCUUAAAGUGGAAGAGCCAUUAAAUUGUACCAUAAGAUAUUCUGAGUGAGAGAGAGGGAGGGAGAGACCACGUUCAUAUAACUUUUAUUCUAAUAUAUCAUUAUAAUUGUUCUAUUUUAUUAUUAGUUAUUAAUCUCUUACUAUGCUAAUUCAUAAAUUAAGCUUUUUCAUAGGUAUGCAUGUAUAGGAAAAAAAGCAUAGUAUAUAUAGGGUUUGGUACUACCUGCAGUUUCAGUCAUCCACUGGGACUCUUGGAAUAUAUUCCCUCAGAUAAGGGGGGACUGCUCUAGUUUGCUUAAUAAAUAUAGGCUGAGUGAGGAAAAGUGUUGCUUAGCCUCAUUAUCCAGGACAUAUUCUUUCCCCCAGUAGAGCUCAUUGCCUUGAUUUAAAGCUGGUGCUCAAGAAAUAGUUGAGCAGAGUUACUGGAGGCAGUGGGAGGGGGGAAGAGGGGACCACUUGGCUGGGUGAGCUUUCCCAUCCCCUCAUCACUGGGUGAAUGAGCCAAUGCCAACACAUCAGCUGCCCUCAUUAGCGGCGAGGCUGCCCUGGCUGCCCUCUCCGGGUAAUUCUAAUUGGCUCCAGUCAGGGAGAGCUGGGUCUGGGCUUUAUUAACACUGACAGCAGCUCCACCGUUAGAAUUGCAGGUAGAAAGGUCACAUUGGAAACACCAUUUCUGAGCACAGAGUAAAUACGGACAGAACUCAUUCUGGCUUUCACAGCUAUGCUGAAGAAUCUUUAUUUAUCCAGCCCUGCUCCUGAGGGCCUUCCUUUCCCUGCUUCCAUGUUCUUCCUUGUUGUGAGGGGGGUUGGCCUUAGGAUUCCCACAUACAUUUUUCUUCAUGGCUGCAGGUCCAGCAAACAAAAACAGUCUGGAUUUCCAAGGGGCUACAAGGGUCUCCGCUGCUGAAGAAUUCGAGUCUAAAAUUCCAGAGAAAGGAGAAUGGGCUGCAUUUCUAGAAAAAAGAUGGUUGGUUAUUGGAGGCCAGUGGUUUACAUGUACUGGUGUAUGAAAACCAAGUACACUUCACACUUUCUUGCAGCCACGGCAUGUGCAGCUCAUCUGCUGUACUUUGGUGAAAUCUUCCCUGACCCUCAGGCAGUGAGUCAUUCCUCUCCUUGUGCUCCCACAGUAUUUGGCUCAUGUCUCAAUUACAGGACUCGUUGCACUGUAUUUUAUUUAUGUACCUAGCCAUCUGUCUUCCAAGAUGGACUGCCAACUCCUCGAGGGCACUGACCAAAUCAUCCAUAUUUAUAUUCUUGGUUUAUUCUCUAGCUCAGAGCCUGGCACUUGGUAAAUAUUUAUCGAAUGAUUCUCCAAAUGAAGGGAGUGGAAGACUGAUCAUAAUAAGAUGAACCAAUGUGGGUAUAGAGUUGUACAGUAGAAACAGCAUGUCAAACUGGUUAAUUUUGGCCUUUGGAGUCAAACUGGUUUAAGCUCUAGCUCCACCACUAUGUUAAUUAGGACUUGGUUUGCGGUAAAUGACAGGGAACCCAAAAUAAUGGCUUAACCAAGUUGGGUGUUUCUCUUUCAU